rnacentral:rRNA from 1 species
AGAACGAACGCUGGCGGCAGGCUUAACACAUGCAAGUCGAACGGAUGUAGCAAUACAUUAGUGGCGCACGGGUGAGUAACGCGUGGGAACGUGCCUUUCAGUUCGGGAUAACGUCGGGAAACUGACGCUAAUACCGAAUAUUCCCCCCGGGGGAAAGAUUUAUCGCUGAAAGAUCGGCCCGCGUAAGAUUAGGUAGUUGGUGGGGUAAUGGCCUACCAAGCCUACGAUCUUUAGCUGGUCUGAGAGGAUGAUCAGCCACACUGGAACUGAGACACGGUCCAGACUCCUACGGGAGGCAGCAGUGGGGAAUAUUGGACAAUGGGCGAAAGCCUGAUCCAGCCAUGCCGCGUGAGUGAUGAAGGCCUUAGGGUUGUAAAGCUCUUUUGUCAGGGAAGAUAAUGACGGUACCUGAAGAAUAAGCACCGGCUAACUUCGUGCCAGCAGCCGC